rnacentral:rRNA from 1 species
CUUGUACCGACUGGAUGAGCAGCGAACGGGUGAGUAACGCGUGGGGAAUCUGCCUUUGAGCGGGGGACAACAUUUGGAAACGAAUGCUAAUACCGCAUAAAAACUUUAAACACAAGUUUUAAGUUUGAAAGAUGCAAUUGCAUCACUCAAAGAUGAUCCCGCGUUGUAUUAGCUAGUUGGUGAGGUAAAGGCUCACCAAGGCGAUGAUACAUAGCCGACCUGAGAGGGUGAUCGGCCACAUUGGGACUGAGACACGGCCCAAACUCCUACGGGAGGCAGCAGUAGGGAAUCUUCGGCAAUGGACGAAAGUCUGACCGAGCAACGCCGCGUGAGUGAAGAAGGUUUUCGGAUCGUAAAACUCUGUUGGUAGAGAAGAACGUUGGUGAGAGUGGAAAGCUCAUCAAGUGACGGUAACUACCCAGAAAGGGACGGCUAACUACGUGCCAGCAGCCGCGGUAAUACGUAGGUCCCGAGCGUUGUCCGGAUUUAUUGGGCGUAAAGCGAGCGCAGGUGGUUUAUUAAGUCUGGUGUAAAAGGCAGUGGCUCAACCAUUGUAUGCAUUGGAAACUGGUAGACUUGAGUGCAGGAGAGGAGAGUGGAAUUCCAUGUGGUUAGCGG